rnacentral:rRNA from 1 species
GCCUGCCCUGUGACCCCAAGUUUAACGGCCGCGGUAUCCUGACCGUGCAAAGGUAGCGCAAUCACUUGUCCCUUAAAUGAGGACCUGUAUGAAUGGCAUAACGAGGGCUUAACUGUCUCCUUUCCCCAGCCAAUGAAAUUGAUCUUCCCGUGCAGAAGCGGGAAUACCAACAUAAGACGAGAAGACCCUAUGGAGCUUUAGACACUAGAACAGACCAUGUCAGCUACCCCUACAAAAAAGUAGUAGUUAUUGUAACCCCUGUUCUCCGUCUUCGGUUGGGGCGACCACGGGGAAUAAAAAAACCCCCAUGUGGACCGGGAGCACACCACUCCUAAAACCACGAGCCACCGCUCUAAAUAACAGAAUUUCUGACCAAAAAGAUCCGGCAACGCCGAUCAACGGACCCAGUUACCCUAGGGAUAACAGCGCAAUCCUCUUCAAGAGUCCAUAUCGAC